GGAUGUCGACGAGAUCGCCGAUAAACAGCGGAGUAAAGUGGAGAACUUGGCCAAAUACGUCCAUUUGCAGGAGGUAGGCACAUUUCAAAUUAUUAUUUCGGUCAGAAAAUAUUAACUAUUUUACACCAAACCAGUGAUAAUAUAUUUAAAUAAGUACCAAUUAUGUUUCUAUCAAAAAGAUUUAGGGAAAAAGGUAAUGUAAGUCGACUGCUGUUUAUCUGAAGUUGCAAGCCGCAAAUUGACGUUUAACUAUGAUUAUUGCAUGGUCACUUUCUUGUGAAAUAUUAGCGUUAGGCAUUUCACACUUACCAAUGAUCACCCCCAAAAGUACCAUCUCUGAACCAUAUAAGCACCUCAGAAUAGCCAAAGCUUUUAUGGUUUGGUAGAUAGCAGUAUGGCGAAAGCGUCGUUUUUGGGUGUGGUCAGUUUCGGACGUUUCGUCCCGGAUUGGGGUUCGGGCAGCGUUACCAUGUUGACCGUCAUGUUCAACUUGCCCUAAAACAGUUGAGAUUAUCUGUCCUAAAUGAAAUGCAUACAAACUCAUAUACAGGUCCUAGACUAUUCUUACGGAAUACUUAAUUUUAGAUUUUGGCCAGUUUGUCGCGUUUAGUUGUUGAGAAAAUGUAAUAAAAAGUUCAACAGUUGUCCGCCAUUUUGAAAAUAAACAUUUAUGCCACAGCAACAUUAUCUGACGUCAUUAGCUGGGUAAACACAAUUUCAUGACUAUAAAACAAUACCGAGUAAUCGAGUAUUACCACGCGUAGUGCACUUUGAGCCAAAACCAAGGGCAGAAAAGUUUUACCAUGAAAAUAUUAUCAUUUCCUUCUCGAACAUUUUAGUCUAUGAGUAAAAUGCAUGCGAACAUUGUGUUUCGCCGCCAUCUUGGAAAAUAUUUUUGAAAAAUUAUCUCGAACUUUGUGACGUCAUACCAAAACUACAAGAGAGAAUUCUAUUGAGUGCGUGCUAUGUUAGCUAAAAAUAUGUCAUUUUGAGCGUUAUACUGGCCAACACUCUUCGCAAUCAAACAAGAGAAGUCUACACUAUCAGAUAAAAACUUAUCGAGCGACUGGGAAAACAAGGAAUGGCGCAAUUUACAAUACAAGUAAAUGAUCAUAAAAUAUUGCAUUAGUGUUUACCUUGUUACACUCGAAUUUCUGCGUUUAUUUAACACGGAUAUAUGAGAAAUAGUGUUACAAACAAGUUACGUACUUAGUUGGGUCGUCAAGUAGGAUUGAAAUAGCCAAUAAAAAUUUUCGUUGCCAUUGUCCUUUAAAAUAUCACAUCAUAUUUUCUCUGAAGUAUUAUUUCAACUUUCAUGCUCAGAUUUAAUAGAUACAUUUUGGAAAAAAGCCGUUCGUUUUUUAGUUAACUUUUUUAUUUACUCCAGCCAUCGCCGCCAGCAAACAUUUUUUUGUCAAUUUUCCCGCGUUUUUCCCCGUUUCCUAGGAUACGCAAUCUCGGACCCAGAGCAAUGCCUGUGCGCGGGCUAGGAAGGCAUUGGCUCUGGGGAAAUUGACAACCGGAACCCCUAAAUUUAGGGGUUCCGGUUCUUUGUCGGCACGCACUAUUGAUAAACGUUCACCAAUCACAGCACAGGAAAAAUUCAAUUUCCCCAGAGCCAAUGCCUUUCUUACCUGCGCUCAGGCAUUGCUCUGGGUACGAGAUUGUAGGAUACGAGGCCUCAUCACGAUUUAUGAAUAAGGUCUAUGAAGGACAAAAAUGCUUGCAAACACAAGAGAAAAAUUGCCAAGAUAACAUACACGUCAUGUCAGCAGAAUUGCAAAAAAGGUUGUCGUUUACAAACCUUAAACCAUAAACUCUAAGCGUGCAAAGCAUAAUGGGAGCAUCAUUUAAUCAGUUAAGAAAUCACUUAUGGGGCCCAUUUUUGAGAGACAUGGUAAAUAUCUCCUUAUACGAGAACAAUUCAUUCGCAAAUAGCUGCAAUAUUCAACUACUAAGCUUGCUUUUGCUCCCAUUUAGCUUUGCGCGCUUAGAGUUUAAGGUUUAAAGUUUAAAAGGUUUGCAAAGGACAACCUUUUUUUAAUAUUUCACGUCAUGUUCUACUUUACAGACCCCGUUGAAGUUAUAGAAAUCCAUUAAAUAAGUGAUGCUUAUAAGUAAGCCACAAACGAGAGAUCCCAGACCCGUGUAGAGGUCCUAUUACCUAUCCCAAAAUUAAAAUAAAUCAGGAAUAAAUCACGUAAAAGUACUCCAGAAAAUGUUUACUUUGUUACUGUACAUGCUGACUUCUCAAAAAUAGUACUCUAGUACAGUAACGAAGUACAUUUACUUCGUUACUUGACACCACUAGGAUUUAAAGGCAAUUUUCCAUUGCAUGCAAUCGCUUCAGGGCCGCAGAUAGGGGGGCAGUGGGGGGGCAAAUUGCCCCAGGCCCCGUGGUGCUGGGGGCCCCUGAAUUUUUUUUUGUUGGGCCCCAAGAACAAGAUAUCUGUUUUUUGGGCUAAGUACCGAAAUUUGGCAUAAAAAAAUGAGAUAAAGUCCCUGGAAAGCAAUUGCAACGUACUCGUCCAGAAAAAUUUUUGACCUAAAAAGUUUUCGACCGGGGGGGGAAGUUGUUCUCCGGAAAAAAAUUUUUCCGGAAAAAUUUUUUGGAUAGGGGCCCCUAAAAAAAUUUUGCCCCGGGCCCCCGCCAACCUCUCGGCGGCCCUGAGUCGCUUUGCCCGCGCGGGCGGAGCGAACAUUACUCAACUUUCUCUGUAGUUGCCUAACCUGACGCCAUGGAAGUAGAACUACAUCAACUUUCUUGGCGAUAUUCCCCGAUAAUCAUCGAGCCUGAGGAGAAUAAAUUGUUUUAGUAUUUUUACACUACAAAAGUUGGCGCAUAUUUUAAUUAAUCUAACAUAAAACUCCUUUCAUAUAUUUUUAGUGACCUCCCAAACAGUCAAAGAGAAAGAGAUCAAACGAAAGAAAACCCAAGCAUUAGAAGACGUGCUAAAAACAUAUUUUCAGCCAUUAUAUUUUCAGCCAUCAUGAAAAACACUUACGAAAACCGAAAGGGGUUAAAAACUUAUAUAGUUCAAAUUAUUGUUAAAUAUUC